rnacentral:rRNA from 1 species
AGAGUUUGAUCAUGGCUCAGGAUGAACGCUAGCGGCAGGCUUAAUACAUGCAAGUCGAGGGGCAGCAUGAAGUAGCAAUACUUUGAUGGCGACCGGCAAACGGGUGCGGAACACGUACACAACCUUCCUUUAAGUGGGGAAUAGCCCAGAGAAAUUUGGAUUAAUACCCCGUAACAUUGCGAUGUGGCAUCACAUUGCAAUUAUAGCUUCGGCGCUUAAUGAUGGGUGUGCGUAUGAUUAGAUAGUUGGCGAGGUAACGGCUCACCAAGUCUACGAUCAUUAGCUGAUGUGAGAGCAUGAUCAGCCACACGGGCACUGAGACACGGGCCCGACUCCUACGGGAGGCAGC